AACGCACGAGACCUGCGGACCUGCGGAGGGAUCAUUACCAAUCUUUUGUGGGACCUCUGUGAUUCUGUGAAAACCUAGUAUUUAAAACCCAACUCAUGAAUAUAACAUGAAAUAUACCGUAUCAAAAUUUAUAUGAUAUUGUAAUUAAAGAUAACUUUUAACAAUGGAUCUCU
rnacentral:misc_RNA from 1 species